rnacentral:rRNA from 1 species
GACGAACGCUGGCGGCGUGCUUAACACAUGCAAGUCGAACGGUAAGGCCCUUCGGGGUACACGAGUGGCGAACGGGUGAGUAACACGUGGGUGAUCUGCCCUGCGCUUCGGGAUAAGCCUGGGAAACUGGGUAUUAUACCGGAUAGGACCACUGCCUGCAUGGGGGGUGGUGGAAAGCUUUUGCGGUGUGGGAUGGGCCCGCGGCCUAUCAGCUUGUUGGUGGGGUGAUGGCCUACCAAGGCGACGACGGUUAGCCGGCCUGAGAGGGUGACCGGCCACACUGGGACUGAGAUACGGCCCAGACUCCUACGGGAGGCAGCAGUGGGGAAUAUUGCACAAUGGGCGCAAGCCUGAUGCAGCGACGCCGCGUGAGGGAUGACGGCCUUCGGGUUGUAAACCUCUUUCAGCACCGACGAAGCGCAAGUGACGGUAGGUGCAGAAGAAGGACCGGCCAACUACGUGCCAGCCGCCGCCGUAA